CCUACGGGUGGCAGCAGUGGGGAAUAUUGCGCAAUGGGGGCAACCCUGACGCAGCAACGCCGCGUGAUUGAAGAAGGCCUUCGGGGUGUAAAGAUCUUUAAUCGGGGACGAAUUUUGACGGUACCCGAAGAAUAAGCUCCGGCUAACUACGUGCCAGCAGCCGCGGUAAUACGUAGGGAGCAAGCGUUAUCCGGAUUUACUGGGGGUAAGGGGCGUGUAGGCGGGCAUGCAAGCCAGAAGUGAAAUCCUGGGGCUUAACCCCCAAACUGCUUUUGGAACUGCGUGUCUUGAGUGAUGGAGAGGCAGGCGGAAUUCCCAGUGUAGCGGUGAAAUGCGUAGAUAUUGGGAGGAACACCAGUGGCGAAGGCGGCCUGCUGGACAUUAACUGACGCUGAGGCGCGAAAGCGUGGGGAGCAAACAGGAUUAGAUACCCUUGUAGUC
rnacentral:rRNA from 1 species